rnacentral:rRNA from 1 species
AAACAUCGCCUCUUGUAACUAUAAGAGGUCCAGCCUGCCCAGUGACUCAUGUUAAACGGCCGCGGUAUACUAACCGUGCAAAGGUAGCGCAAUCACUUGUCCCCUAAAUAGGGACUUGUAUGAAUGGCAUCACGAGGAUUUAACUGUCUCCUUUUUCCAAUCAGUGAAACUAAUCUUCCUGUGAAAAAGCAGGAAUACUCAUAUAAGACGAGAAGACCCUAUGAAGCUUUAAACAUAUAACAAAUGCCCCAAACACUUUUCCUGAAACCCAACCAACAGCACAUUGAUUAUAAGUUUUUGGUUGGGGUGACCACGGAGAAAAAUUAAACCUCCGCACUGCCUAAUCUAAAUUUAAAACUAAAAGUUACAACUUUAAUACUCAACAAAUUGACACAAUUGAUCCAAAUAUUUGAUCAAUGAACUAAGUUACUCUAGGGAUAACAGCGCAAUCCACUUCAAGAGCACAUAUCGACAAGUGGGCUUACGACCUCGAUGUUGGAUCAGGGUAUCCUAGUGGUGCAGCCGCUACUAAAGGUUCGUUUGUUCAACGAUUAAAACCCUACGUGAUCU